rnacentral:rRNA from 1 species
GAUGAACGCUGGCGGCGUGCCUAAUACAUGCAAGUCGAGCGAACAGACGAGGAUCUUGCUCCUCUUACGUUAGCGGCGGACGGGUAAGUAACACGUGUAUAACCUACCUAUAAGACUGGGAUCACUUCGGGAAACCGGAUCUAAUACCGGAUAAUAUAUUGAACCGCAUGGUUCAAUAGUGAAAGACGGUUUUGCUGUCACUUAUAGAUGUAUCCUCGCCGCAUUAGCUAGUUGGUAAGGUAACGGCUUACCAAGGCAACGAUGCGUAGCCGACCUGAGAGGGUGAUCAGUCACACUGGAACUGAGACACGGUCCAGACUCCUACGGGAGGCAGCAGUAGGGAAUAUUCCGCAAUGGGCGAAAGCCUGACGGAGCAACGCCGCGUGAGUGAUGAAGGUCUUCGGAUCGUAAAACUCUGUUAUUAGGGAAGAACAAAUGUGUAAGUAACUAUGCACGUCUUGACGGUACCUACUCAGAAAGCCACGGCUAACUACGUG